rnacentral:misc_RNA from 1 species
UACAGUUGUUUGUUUUGUUAACUGAAAAGUAGGAAAAAGAAGAAGAAAACAAUUAAGGUUAUUUAUAUGCAUCAGAUAUAGUGUUGACAACUCUAAAUCGAGUAUAGAGAGACCAGGGCAAACCAAAGUACAUAAAACUAAACAUUUACGUUAGAUCUGGCAAACUAUUCACUGUAAAUAAACCCUCGAAUGACUUAAGGGAUAAAACAAAAUACUGGAUAAUUGAUUGACCAAUUUCCGCAUAAGCAAGGUCCAUCAAAAAAUAACCUUGUGCUUGGAUGGAGGAAUUUGAAAUAUGUGAUUUGAAUUUGAUAAAAGUAUAUAUAUAUAUAUAUAGGCAAUGGCAUCUUGCUUUAAAAAGGCCCUGGCCUCGCCUAAUGCCAUAAGGUACCCUUUCGCUUUAGUGUCACCUUUCAACUUGAUAACACUGUUGCAACUCCAUGAAUCAGUCUAAAAAUUAUUAUUAUUCCAGGAGGUUUUACAAAGUGAUUCCCCAUUCAACUUGAUAACACUGUUGCAACUCCAUGAAUCAGUCUAAAAAUUAUUAUUAUUCCAGGAGGUUUUACAAAGUGAUUCCCCA